AACCCAUGAUUUGGGCAUUUUCUAAGCAUAAUUUUGAAUCUCUCUUAUGUCUCAUAAAAAGGUUCAUCUGCUCCCUGUUUGGACAUAGAAAUUUCAGACUUUGCUU
rnacentral:snoRNA from 1 species